rnacentral:rRNA from 1 species
AUGGCUCGUAAGGUUUUCAACGUUGUGGCAUCCAUCCUCAUAUUGGCGUUCCUCAUGUCUUGUGAUGUGGUUCAAAGCACUUGCCAUGAGUAUACCAGCAAGGUCACUUGUCGUGACUCUUCGACAUGUCAUACGUGGUGCAAGUACAAUGGUGCUGAUGAUGGUCACUGCAGUAAAGUUAGUGAAUGUGGUUGUACCCUUGAUAACCUAGGAUUAAAGCCUAGACUGAAUCCACACAUGCCUCUGGGAUGCAGGGAGCAGAGGAGCCGGGAGAGAAAGCUGCCGAGUAGGCGAGGGAAUGGUUGUGCCGGCAGCUGUGGUGGAGGUUGCCCGACGCCAAUAUCUAAUUCAUCCUCAUAUUGGCGCUCCUCAUAUCUUGUGAUGUGGUUCAAAGCACAUGCCAUAUGA